rnacentral:ncRNA from 1 species
GGGCGCACGGUGGAUGCCUUGGCACCAGGAACCGAUGAAGGACGUGGGAGGCCACGAUAGUCCCCGGGGAGUCGUCAACCAGGCUUUGAUCCGGGGGUUUCCGAAUGGGGAAACCCGGCAGUCGUCAUGGGCUGUCACCCGCUGCUGAACACAUAGGCAGUGUGGAGGGAACGCGGGGAAGUGAAACAUCUCAGUACCCGCAGGAAGAGAAAACAACCGUGAUUCCGGGAGUAGUGGCGAGCGAAACUGGAUGAGGCCAAACCUACGACGUGUGAGACCCGGCAGGGGUUGCGUCGUGGGGGUUGUGGGAUCUCUCUUUUACGGUCUGCCGGCCGUGAGACGAGUCAGAAACCGUUGAUGUAGGCGAAGGACAUGCGAAAGGUCCGGCGUAGAGGGUAAGACCCCCGUAGUCGAAACGUCAGCGGCUCGUUUGAGAGACACCCAAGUAGCACGGGGCCCGAGAAAUCCCGUGUGAAUCUGGCGGGACCACCCGCUAAGCCUAAAUAUUCCCUGGUGACCGAUAGCGGAUAGUACCGUGAGGGAAUGGUGAAAAGUACCCCGGGAGGGGAGUGAAAUAGUACCUGAAACCGUGUGCCUACAAGCCGUGGGAGCGUCGGAACAAGGCUUGCCUUGUUCUCGUGACUGCGUGCCUUUUGAAGAAUGAGCCUGCGAGUUUGCGGUGUGUUGCGAGGUUAACCCGUGUGGGGAAGCCGUAGCGAAAGCGAGUCCGAAUAGGGCGUUUUUAGUAGCACGCUCAAGACCCGAAGCGGAGUGAUCUAGCCAUGGGCAGGUUGAAGCGGAGGUAAGACUUCGUGGAGGACCGAACCCACCAGGGUUGAAAACCUGGGGGAUGACCUGUGGUUAGGGGUGAAAGGCCAAUCAAACUCCGUGAUAGCUGGUUCUCCCCGAAAUGCAUUUAGGUGCAGCGUCGUGUGUUUCUUGCCGGAGGUAGAGCACUGGAUAGGCGAUGGGCCCUACCGGGUUACUGACCUUAGCCAAACUCCGAAUGCCGGUAAGUGAGAGCGCGGCAGUGAGACUGUGGGGGAUAAGCUCCAUGGUCGAGAGGGAAACAGCCCAGAGCAUCGACUAAGGCCCCUAAGCGUACGCUAAGUGGGAAAGGAUGUGGAGUCGCAGAGACAACCAGGAGGUUGGCUUAGAAGCAGCCACCCUUGAAAGAGUGCGUAAUAGCUCACUGGUCUAGUGAUUCCGCGCCGACAAUGUAGCGGGGCUCAAGCGUACCGCCGAAGUCGUGUCAUUGCAGCAAUACGGCCAACGCCGGCUGUGAUGGGUAGGGGAGCGUCGUCUGCCGGGUGAAGCAGCACCGGAAGGUAGUUGUGGACGGUUGACGAGUGAGAAUGCAGGCAUGAGUAGCGAUUCACACGUGAGAAACGUGUG